CCGGCGUCCCCGGGGGACCCCCGCGCCCCACGGAGCUGCCCCCGGGGAAGCGGCGGCUGCACCUGGCGGAGCCGACAGCAGGGAACAAAAACUUGGGGGUUUAUUUCUUUUUUUUUUUUUUCCCCCUCGUUUAGGUUCCGUAUCGGAGCAGGCUGGAAGGCUGCCGUAUACUCAGGCGUGUAAGAAGAUUAUGUCAGCAGCGGGCAGAGGACUACUGGAAGGAAAGUCCAGGAGGGAUUUGUCCAAGUGGAUUGCAAGUCAUUACAAUCGUUUGCAUGAGAGAAGCCUGUUCAUCUGGAAUAGACGAGCAUAUUGGAGCGCCUCCAUCCCUGAAGCCAAACUAAGGCAUAACUGUGAGAAGUGGAAAUGUGGAAAAGUGGAAAUGGUAUCUUCUUCCAAGCUAAAUACUUCCAAGUACUGAACUUCACAGAAAAUAAGGUC
rnacentral:lncRNA from 1 species